UACGGAGGGUGCAAGCGUUAUCCGGAUUCACUGGGUUUAAAGGGUGCGUAGGCGGGCAGGUAAGUCAGUGGUGAAAUCCCCGAGCUUAACUUGGGAACUGCCGUUGAUACUAUCUGUCUUGAAUACCGUGGAGGUCAGCGGAAUAUGUCAUGUAGCGGUGAAAUGCUUAGAUAUGACAUAGAACACCAAUUGCGAAGGCAGCUGGCUACACGAAUAUUGACACUGAUGCACGAAAGCGUGGGGAUCAAACAGG
rnacentral:rRNA from 1 species